rnacentral:misc_RNA from 1 species
GAUGAAGAACGCAGCGAAAUGCGAUAAGUAGUGUGAAUUGCAGAAUUCAGUGAAUCAUCGAAUCUUUGAACGCACAUUGCGCCCUUUGGUAUUCCUUAGGGCAUGCCUGUUCGAGCGUCAUUUGACCCCUCAAGCUCUGCUUGGUGAUGGGCGCCUUGUCGACCCCGCGGUUUCCGCAGGCGACUCGCCUCAAAUCUAUUGGCGGCUAGCAUUGCAGUUUCGAGCGCAGCAGAAACGCGAACUCGAGCCUGCGUGUGAGCUCCCAGCAAGCCAACCCCCACGUUUUGACCUCGGAUCAGGUAGGGAUACCCGCUGAACUUAAGCAUAUCAAUAAGCGGAGGGA